rnacentral:tRNA from 1 species
AAGGGUGUAGCUCAGUGGUAGAGCUUGCGCUUAGCAUGCACAAGGUCCUAGGUUCAAUCCCCAGUACCUCCA